rnacentral:rRNA from 1 species
UGGGGGAUAUUGCACAAUGGGCGAAAGCGUGAUGCAGCGACGCCGCGUGGGGGAUGAAGGCUUUCGGGUUGUAAACCUCUUUCGCUAUCGAACAAGGCCCGCUUAGGGUGGGUUGAGGGAAGGUGGAGAAGAAGCGCCGGCUAACUACGUGCCAGCAGCCGCGGUAAUACGUAGGGCGCGAGCGUUGUCCGGAAUUAUUGGGCGUAAAGGGCUUGUAGGCGGCUUGUUGCGCCUGCUGUGAAAACGCGGGGCUUAACUUCGCGCGUGCAGUGGGUACGGGCAGGCUUGAGUGUGGUAGGGGUGACUGGAAUUCCAGGUGUAGCGGUGGAAUGCGCAGAUAUCUGGAGGAACACCGAUGGCGAAGGCAGGUCACUGGGCCAUUACUGACGCUGAGGAGCGAAAGCAUGGGUAGCGAACAGG